rnacentral:rRNA from 1 species
UACGAAGGGGGCUAGCGUUGCUCGGAAUCACUGGGCGUAAAGCGCACGUAGGCGGCUUUCUAAGUCGGGGGUGAAAUCCUGGAGCUCAACUCCAGAACUGCCUUCGAAACUGGCGAUCUUGAGUCCGGGAGAGGUGAGUGGAACUGCGAGUGUAGAGGUGAAAUUCGUAGAUAUUCGCAAGAACACCAGUGGCGAAGGCGGCUCACUGGCCCGGUACUGACGCUGAGGUGCGAAAGCGUGGGGAGCAAACAGG